GGUACAAAAGACGUUUUAGAAAUGGAAUUUUACUGAGAAUGUUCUGUUUAUUUGUAAAUAAACAGUAAGUACUUGAUUUUAGUAACUGAGUAUUUAAGUACUUUCAAAACAACUUUUAUUCUGAAGUGAAAAUGCGAAAACUGCUUGAGAAGAGGAAGUAAAUGCACAUACUUCGGACACCCUCAGAAUUGGAAGAAGCGUAAUGAACAGCUCUUAUUGGGCAGUGGAUGAUAUUACGCCCGAAAGGUGGAAUUGAACCACUCUGCCGCCAGGCAGCUACAGGUUUGAAGCCUGCACCCCGGACCACCGAGGAUCAUCCGGGCAGAAAACAUGAGUCACCAGAGACACUAUAUACAACAGCGAAAGUCUAAACUAUCUUACUUACGGUUUGUGGGGUCUCAAUCAAAUUGUGUGUAUGUCGAAUAAUUAGGCUUCAUACAAACUGGUGGCCUUAUAGCAGUGCCUAUUAAGCGCUAUAUUUCUCAGUAAACCUACCGAAAAGGGACAAAAUCAGGCAUGCUGGAAAAUAUGCUAAUAACCUCCGUUCUGAUUGGCUGAAAGAAACUACGUCAUUGCAGCUGCAGGUGCUGGCAGGCCUGUGCAGUCUUGGCUUGCAGGCAGAGGGCAGCAGGUGUGGCCAGCACAGACUUGACCACAUGACAAGCUGCAGACCAAAGGCUCAUUUUUGAGGAGAGCCGUGGGGGCGAACUCUGGCUGCACGGUGCAGCAACUCACCCCCGCAUUCUGCAGCACUUUGGUGACGCCCGACAUCAGAGCCAUUGUGCUACGGCAAAGGUCAAAACUCACCUGUGUGCCGUAAAGGCCGCAUGACAGCGCACGUGGACCGAGGCCACCAUGAGGGAAUCCGCCAAUUCCCAAAUGUGGAGCUCGUGCACCGCUUCAACUCCUGGCACAUUCCCGAUCUUCAUGGUGACAUCUGAGACACACAGGUGUGGAGGCGUGGCCUGCAUGAGCAUCAGUCCGUACCUGUGCACCUGAGGACGACACACACAAGAACUAAGUUGCACGAAGGAGGUAAAGUACAGAAAGACUAGAUUAACCUGUGGUGAGGUUCCAGCCACCAGUAUCAUGACAGCCAGGAUGGCGACGCUUGGAUCCAGGUAGACCAUAUAGUCUUCGGGGCCCACCAGCAGCAACACGAGGCUCGUGAUUAGGACCAGGACUGAAGUGGACAGACUGUGUAUGAAGUAGACCCAAGUGGGUGGACAGAAGGGCCACCUGCUGCUGGGGUCAUGUAAUGAUGUGUGGUCUGCACAUGUGAGGGAAAAAAGCGUGACAACAAUAAAGUGUUUUUUUUUUGGUUUUCUUUCAAAACGUCCAAUUAGAACAUUGUUUUUCAACCUUUUUUGAGCCAAGGCGCAUUUUUUUCAUUGAAAAAAUCCGUAGGCACACCACCAGCAGAAAUCAUUAAGAAAUGAAACUCAAGACACAAUAAAAAGUUGUUGUCGCAAUUGUUGGAUAUACAUUUAAACCAUAACCAAUGACGGAGGCAGAUAUUUACAUAUAUCCAUAUUUAAGUGUUACUUCUUUAUUUUCAUAGUCAUAUUACAAAACAGCUAGUGUUCUUCCAGUUGUUCUCUUUUGGUUGUCUGCAAGUACUGUGUGUGUCAACCUUGAAGCUUUGGUAUGCAGGGAGUAGCUAUAACUCCUUUUCCUUAUCUGUUCCUGUGUCCAGCUGAGGAGGACAAUGGGCAUGUGUUCGGGCUGGAGGGAGAGACAACGAGGGUGGGAGCGAGAAACACAUUAUAGAAGAGAAGGCUUCCGUAUUUUAGAUUAGACCGGUUUUAGCUGCGCUAGUGAAUGCGAUGUGCUGGACUGGUCUCACUCUAUUUUCAAGGCUUUGAAAAUAAAUGACAAAAUACCUAUUCUGUCCUGGUGGUCAAUUUGAACUCAGCUUAUGUGUCAUCAAAAGAAGUUGGGAGUGAACAGUAACUUAAAUUCCCUGGGAGGAAGAUCUGCUGGAACGCAACACCAACCAUGCAUCACCAUAGCUCUUGUCUCAAAGUAGGUCUACUAUCACGACGUGACCUAUUUAGAGUUUUUUGGUUGUACGCCCGUGCAUAGUGUUUUAGUCCUAUUUUGGUGUCUUUUCCUGUUUUCUGGUAUUUUCCUGUUGCAGCUUCAUGUCUUCCUUCAACGCUAUUCCCCGCACCUGCUUUGUU